rnacentral:RNase_P_RNA from 1 species
GAGUCGGUCAGGCGAUCGCUUCCGGUUAUGUACCGGGGGAGGAAAGUCCGGGCUCCACAGGGCAGGGUGCCAGGUAACGCCUGGGGGGCGUGAGCCUACGGAAAGUGCAACAGAAAGGAUACCGCCCGGCGCAAGUCGGGUAAGGGUGAAAAGGUGCGGUAAGAGCGCACCGCGCGGCUGGUAACAGGCGUGGCGAUGGUAAACCCCACUCGGAGCAAGACCAAAUAGGAAUCCGUAUGCUGCGGCCCGCAGUGGAUUCGGGUAGGUCGCUACAGGCCGGCGGCGACGCCGGUCGCAGAUGAAUGAUCGUCCUCGACAGAACCCGGCUUAUCGACCGACUCGC